UACGGGGGGGGCAAGCGUUGUUCGGAAUUACUGGGCGUAAAGGGCUCGUAGGCGGCCAACUAAGUCAGACGUGAAAUCCCCAGGCUUAACCUGGGAACUGCGUCUGAUACUGGAUGGCUUGAAUUCGGGAGAGGGAUGCAGAAUUCCAGGUGUAGCGGUGAAAUGCGUAGAUAUCUGGAGGAAUACCGGUGGCGAAGGCGGCUCUCUGGACGGUGACUGACGCUGAGACGCGAAAGCGUGGGGAGCAAACAGG
rnacentral:rRNA from 1 species